AGGGAAAUAUCUCAUUGGUAGAGCACAUGCUUAGCAUACAUGAGGUCCUGGGUUCAAUUCCCAGUAUCUCCA
rnacentral:tRNA from 1 species